AGAGUUUGAUCCUGGCUCAGAAUGAACGUUGGCGGCGUGGAUUAGGCAUGCAAGUCGCGCGUGAAGGGUUUGGUGCUUGCAUUAGACCUGGAAAGCGGCGAAAGGGAGAGUAACGCGUAGGGCACCUGCCCCCUGGUCUGGGAUAGCGGUGGGAAACUGCCGGUAAUACCGGAUGAUGUCUCCGGACCAAAGGUGUGAUUCCGCCGGGGGAUGGUCCUGCGUCCUAUUAGCUUGUUGGUGGGGUAAUGGCCUACCAAGGCAAAGAUGGGUAGCGGGCGUGAGAGCGUGGCCCGUCUCACUGGGACUGAGACACUGCCCAGACACCUACGGGUGGCUGCAGUCGAGAAUCUUCCGCAAUGGACGCAAGUCUGACGGAGCGACGCCGCGUGCGGGAUGAAGGCCUUCGGGUUGUAAACCGCUUUCGGCAGGGUGGAAAUGCAUGAUGGUUAUCCGUCAUGUUUGACCUAACUGCAAAAGAAGUCCGGGCUAAGUACGUGCCAGCAGCCGCGGGAAUACGUACCGGACAAACGUUACUCGGAAUCACUGGGCUUAAAGAGUACGUAGGCGGCUUGGUAGGUGAGGUGUGAAAUCCCACGGCUCAACCGUGGAACUGCGCUUCAAACCACUAAGCUUGAGGGAGACAGGGGUGAGCGGAACAGAUGGUGGAGCGGUGAAAUGCGUUGAUAUCAUCUGGAACACCGGUGGCGAAGGCGGCUCACUGGGUCUCUUCUGACGCUGAGGUACGAAAGCUAGGGUAGCGAACGGGAUUAGAUACCCCGGUAGUCCUAGCUGUAAACGAUGAGCACUAGUUCGAGGGGACUUCCACAUCCUCUCGGACGUAGCGAAAGUGUUAAGUGCUCCGCCUGGGGAGUAUGGUCGCAAGGCAA
rnacentral:rRNA from 1 species